rnacentral:rRNA from 1 species
AACGAACGCUGGCGGCAGGCUUAACACAUGCAAGUCGAGCGCCCCGCAAGGGGAGCGGCAGACGGGUGAGUAACGCGUGGGAAUCUACCCAUCUCUACGGAAUAACGCAUGGAAAAGUGUGCUAAUACCGUAUACGUCCUUCGGGAGAAAGAUUUAUCGGAGAUGGAUGAGCCCGCGUUGGAUUAGCUAGUGGGUGGGGUAAAGGCCUACCAAGGCGACGAUCCAUAGCUGGUCUGAGAGGAUGAUCAGCCACACUGGGACUGAGACACGGCCCAGACUCCUACGGGAGGCAGCAGUGGGGAAUAUUGGACAAUGGGCGCAAGCCUGAUCCAGCCAUGCCGCGUGAGUGAUGAAGGCCCUAGGGUUGUAAAGCUCUUUCACCGGUGAAGAUAAUGACGGUAACCGGAGAAGAAGCCCCGGCUAACUUCGUGCCAGCAGCCGCCGUAAGAC